CUGUGGAAAAGUAAAAUUAUGCAAGAGCUUUUGAAUGUAAAGGCUGUGUGUGCUUUUUCCCUUUUUGUCUCUGUGUACCGGUUAUGUGAUGUUGCGUAACUGAGUACAGAGUAGGCGGUUAGCGUUUACUAUUGAUUUACACUAUGCCAUCUAAUGAAUUCAGAACACCGAAAAGAAAGGAGCAGGAGGGGGAGGGAGGAAAAAAGAGAGAGAGAGACAAGCAGGGAGAGAAAAAAGGAGGAAAAAAAUGGAUGGGAGCAAGAGCUCAUUUACAGAAACAAUUCUACUGCCUGGAAUAGUUUCAUUCUUAUUCCCUCUAGCUCUGACUUUCUGUUAUUGUUCAGGUCUCAGAAAAAUGGACUUGAGCUAGUGACCCCAAUAUUCCAAUCUUAUUUCUAAUGAGGAUUACUGGCAGGUGAAUGUCUGAAAGUACUAAUGUGUCAAAUUACUUGAAAGCAAUUCCACUAAACCAUCAGACUUCUCCAUAUGCACCUAUUUGUUAUUCUCUUGAUGCAUUUGGGAAUCAGUAUCUGUGAUAGCCCAUGCUAUGGUCCAACUAGUUUACCUAGUCAAAAAUAUCAUUUGAAAGAUACACAGGGAUAUCAACAGGACAAAGAAAUGUGUCAAUUUUGCCAUCUCCUUUAAAAAUUCAUGAAGAAAGCAUUUAGAAAUCUUUGAAUGGGUCACUAUUUUACUUUGGAAGAAUAUAUGCCACACAUUAUUUGGCUAAACAGAACAGCCCAAUGUAGGAAAAUGAAAUAGAAAUGGACAAUGAGGAAAGACUCUAAACUGAUGAACAUGCUUGUAAACAAAAUUUAAAUAUUUUCCUAUACUGUGCUUACAGAGGGCAUUUCAAAUUUGACUUCUGAUCUGGAUGACUACUGACAUCCCUAGUUCUCUGAGGCUUCCAGGGGCUUCCCAUGCCAUUCAAUGAGUUCCCAAAGCCGAGGCUAGAAAGUAAGGACGAAUUUGACUCUGCUGUUGAACAAGGACCAUCCCGUACCUGAGUGUCCUCCUGUGGCUCAGAACAGUCAUCAAAAUGAGAAAAAGAAACAGAAGUUCUCUUCAUUAGCAGCCAGCUAGAGAGCAAGGCAGGGGACUUGUACCCUUCCUGAAUGUGUGUUUGUAAACGAUGAAUGGAAAAAAAUCACAGGAGGUCAUCCAAAGGAAGGAACAAGAGUUUGGGGUUUCAAUUCUGAUCAUCCAAUGACUUUCUCUUUUCACCCAUUUUUGGCUUAGAAAAUAAUAAACAGAUGCCUACUCCAUCCAUUUUCUGGGUAUAUUUUAAUGACCAAUGGCCAUGUAUAUACAUGGUUCAUACCUAGGCACCUAGCAAAGUGUUUGGCACAUUCUUUAUGCUCAGCAAAUAUUUGUUGAAAUAGUAAAAUGAUUAUAGGAGAAAUAAAUAUCUCUGUAAAAAAAGGAUAGAAAAGCCUCAGAAAAUAUUUUCCAAUGAUUUACAGGAAAUCUUAGGCUAUACUUAGACUGCAGACAAAAUAAUGAUGUAGGUAAAGUAUCAAACAGUUAUUUGGGGAUCAGUGACUUUAGUUUCAUUUUAUUAGGGAAAAAAAGCUUAACAAAAAUUGUAAUACUGAUAAUAUUGGCAAAGUUUUGUGUCCAUUUCCACCAGCCCUUUGGACUAUUUUUCAUUUCAGUCUUGGGCACAGAAAAGCCCAUUUUAAUUUCCAUGGACAUAUUCUAAAGAAAAAGUCAUGGGAGAGCAAUAUAAUUCAUCUUUUAAAAAAUACUGAGAAGAAUGUAGCCAUUUAGUAAUGGGAGAGAAUAUAGCUUUUUGUUGAAGGGCAAGGCAGGUUGAGUUUUGAUUAGGUUAUGCAAAUUUAAAUUAAUAGAAGGUACUUUUUAUAAAGUGGGACUGCAAUCUUGUUAACUAAUCUGGGUGGGACUAAGCAUGUGAAACUUUUUUAAAGUUUUUUUUUUUUAAUUUGAUCAUUAGUAUAAUCUAAUCUAAUUCAGCAACUCCAUUCAAUAAGCAUCCUGACAGUACAUCAACAAGACCAUCCCACGUGCUAUUGUUCACUGCAUAGAUUCUUAAAAGUGGAUGAGAAUGUGCCUGGCUCCAUCAUUUUAAAUAUGAAAAUACAUAAAGCUGAAGCUUAUAUGGUAAUUUUCUCAAGGAUGUAUAUUUUGAGAUAGAUCUGGGAUUUGGACCUAAAGCUCAGAGUUCAUUUCUCCACAGCACAAAAUAAGUCAAAAGUUGCAUAAAAUAAAUCAUUUUAAAUGCUAUAAAGAUUUCAAAAUAUUUUUUUAAAGCCAAGGAGUCCUUACAUUAUGUAAAAUGUUCAUCUCGGAGUUAUAAUUAAUUUUCCAUCUUUAAUCUGAGUCUCCUCUUCAUUCUCUUUUCUUUCUCCUCUUACUCUUUAGAUCUUUGGAUAGAGUCUCUUUUACUCUAUUUCUCACUCAUUUAUCUCCAAACCUGACCUCAAAUUCUUCCCUUUUUCUCAUUUUUCAUCUGUUUCUCCAACUUUAUUAUUCUUCCUCAAAAAAUUAUUUUUUGUUUAUGUGUUUUGAGAUCCUCAGAAACCAUAAAGGAAAAGGUUGUAUUUAGUACUGUAUAAUACACAGGUCUUUGGUAUAUACUUAAAUUAAAAAACUGCAACAACGGAGUUCCCGUCGUGGCGCAGUGGUUAACGAAUCCGACUAGGAACCAUGAGGUUGCGGGUUCGGUCCCUGGCCUUGCUCAGUGGGUUAAGGAUACGGCGUUGCUGUGGCUCUGGCGUAGGCCAGUGGCUACAGCUCCGAUUCAACCCCUAGCCUGGGAACCUCCAUAUGCCGCGGGAGCGGCCCAAGAAAUAGCAACAACAACAACAACAACAACAAAAAGACAAAAGACAAAAAAAAAAAAAAAAAAACAAAAAAAACUGCAAAAAGCUGCCUGGACUUCUGCACUGUCAGGGAGGAGACUGAGCCUCCUGCUAUAAGGAAUCUCAUUGAGAUAGAGAGAAAAAGCUCACAAUUUCCAGACCCAACCAGUCAUCUUCCCACUACUCCAGGUCACCUUUCUGUUUCCUUUUCUUUCUUUCCAUUCCACCAUCACAACUAUUUCGAGGUUGAUUAUGGCUCAGCAGAAGAUCCAGAGAAACCCUAGUGCCUUAACUUGGUUUUUUGCAAAACUCUCAAUUCCAAAAAAAGAUGGAGAGUUGCAUACUAAAUUUGCAGUUAUACAGAAAGCAAAGUCUGACUUGGUUAAAAGAGAACUCAGACCAGAGAAAGAGAUCUCUGUAUAACAGAGGCUUUGCUGUCAGAAUCAUUUAGAUUGUAUCAUCUUCUCCCUUAUAAAGCUUAACUUUUAUGGGGUUUAUAAUUCAGCUAAAAUGAUAAAGCUCCAGGCUGAAAUGUAGCUCUAGCCAUCUUAGAGUGGGAGGUAUUUUCUACCUUAUUCUUUAGGAAAGAACAUAUAUAGCAAAUAUUCAGCCAUUUCAAUGACAUCUGGAUUCUGACCACCUACCUUUCCCUAAGAAAAAGUAGGUGCUAAUCAAGGAGCCUGAUCUACAGUGAGCUAAACUGAGCAACAUCCCCUGUGGAAUGAAGGACAUGAUAUUGGGAGAUAAAAGGAUGUUCUAUUAUUUUAAAAGGCUUAAUGUAUACACUUGGCUAGAUGUUUCAUUCCACUUUAUUGAUGUGAAUAGGAUUUCAGCAAUGCUUUGUUGAAAAGUCUCCCAUUAUUAUUUGCUAACUAGAAAACAUUACAAUUAUAGGAGGCAGAAAUUACCGUGGUUUCCUUAGCUGUCUUUCCUCCUCAUAAGCCCAUUCUCAGGGUAGCUAUAAGAUAUAAUUUUUAAAAAUCCUUGCUCUGACGUCUCUAGUAUUGGCUAUACUGUCUAAAGUACCAUACUAGGCCACAGUGGUGAAAAGGGAGAGGAGGAACUUCAACUAGAAGAUUUAAUUCAUUAUUUUUAAAAUUAAUUAAAAUUAAUAGACCAGAAGGAAACUAGCAUUUAUUGAGAACAUAUUAUCUGCUACAUACUUCAUUGAUAUUAUUCCAUUUAAUACAAAUCCCUUGUGAAGUAAGAGGGGCCUAAGUUUCAUAGAUUAGCAACCUGGUUACAGAGCUGUUAGCUAACUUGCUUAAGGACACUGAGCUAAUUAAAAAGUUGCGCAGGGGAGGCUCAGGAUCUGUUUGACUCCCAGGCCCACAUGUCCUAUAAGGUACUGUAACGCCAAAAGCAAAGUAUGAAGCUAUCUAACCAAAAAAAAUCUCCAUGUCAAUGAUGAGAACCACCACAGGCCCCAAGUAGGGGGUGGGAAGAAUAAAUGACUCCUAAAAAGAAAUAGAUUCUUGCUUUGCCCUCAAUUAUGAUAAAACCUUGUUUUCCAAAUGCAUAUUUGGAAAAUGUUCCUUGUCGUAGGUAAAGGAACAUACAAUUUCCCAGGAAACUUUAAAUCAGAACAGAUAUUUGAAUGUUUUAAAAUUUUCCUUUAAAGAUUUAUACUGGAUAAAAGUGAAAAAUACAAUGCAUAUAAAAUCCAAUGGUUAAUAUAUUGCUAUGUAUAUGUGUGUAUGUACAUACAAUUUUUUUCUCAUUACCAAAAUUUCUGGCAAUUACUAUAUAGUACUUGGCAAAAUCUAAACAAUGAACAUGUUGAGCCAGGAGAAAAGGAAAGAACAAGAAAAGGAGGAGGCGUGUGGGGGGGCAGAGUGUAAAGAUAAAGUUUUAUUAUUUUAAUUUGGCAAAUGAGUAU
rnacentral:lncRNA from 1 species